AGCGAACGCUGGCGGCAGGCUUAACACAUGCAAGUCGAGCGGGCAUCCUUGUGGUGUCAGCGGCAGACGGGUGAGUAACGCGUGGGAACGUGCCCUUCGGUUCGGAAUAACUCAGGGAAACUUGAGCUAAUACCGGAUACGUGCGAGAGCAGAAAGGUUUAUCUGCCGAAGGAUCGGCCCGCGUCUGAUUAGCUAGUUGGUGAGGUUAUGGCUCACCAAGGCGACGAUCAGUAGCUGGUCUGAGAGGAUGAUCAGCCACACUGGGACUGAGACACGGCCCAGACUCCUACGGGAGGCAGCAGUGGGGAAUAUUGGACAAUGGGGGCAACCCUGAUCCAGCCAUGCCGCGUGAGUGAUGACGGCCUUAGGGUUGUAAAGCUCGUUUCUUCGGGACGAUAAUGACGGUACCGGAGGAAUAAGCCCCGGCUAACUUCGUG
rnacentral:rRNA from 1 species